GAUUAAGUGGUAUAGUGGUGAGCAUAGCUGCCUUCCAAGCAGUUGACCCAGGUUCGAUUCCCAUCCAACACA